CCUACGGGAGGCAGCAGUGGGGAAUAUUGCACAAUGGGGGAAACCCUGAUGCAGCGACGCCGCGUGAGUGAAGAAGCGUUUCGGCACGUAAAGCCCUAUCAGCAGGGAAGAAAAUGACGGUACCCGACCCAGAAACCCCCGCUAAACAACUGCCAGCAGGCGCCGUAACAAGGUGGGGGCAGGCGUUAUCCGGAAUUACUGGGUGUAAAGGGGGCGUAGACGGGCGCGUUAGUCUGGAGUGAAAUCCCAUGGUUUAAACGAGGAACUGCUUUGGAAACCGGGUUGCUGGAGUGCGGGAGAGGUAAGCGGAAUUCCUGGUGUAGCGGUGAAAUGCGUAGAUAUUAGGAGGAACACCGGUGGCGAAGGCGGCUUACUGGACCAUAACUGACGUUGAGGCUCGAAAGCGUGGGGAGCGAACAGGAUUAGAUACCCUAGUAGUC
rnacentral:rRNA from 1 species